AUACUCUUGAUGUUCAACAAAAAAGGUUUACUAAACUAUUAACAAUUAACAAUCAACAACCAACGAUUAACAAUCAAGAGUUAAUAAUCACGUAUCUCGAAUUGUGUUUGCUUUGCUAUGACCCUAGACCUUUCGCACUUCAUAGCUCGAGGCAGAAUGAAUCUUUUGUUCGAAACCAAACGGAUUCUUUUCUUUGUUGCCCCUCGAUAUUCCCAUUACGCACGCGUUUAUUAGAUGUCCAUGACAGUUGCCGCGUAUGCAUUCUUCCGAAUAUUCGGCAAAAGAGCCGUAGGGAUAUCUAUGGUACAUUAGGCAUGUCGACCUUACGCUUUGAAGGUAUAGCGCUUUGUGUCGCGAAACCGUUGGAAAGUUCCGUGGUCGAGUACCGCCACAUACGUAUUCUAACGUACUUCUUAAAUUUCUGAAGUAUAAUGUGACCGACCGUUUGUCGAGAAGGAUCAGGAAAUCAAAAGCAAUCGUGCACCCCCGCGGCGAUCAUCUCGCCUUCGCCUGGUUUCGCGUCCGA
rnacentral:misc_RNA from 1 species